CUACGGGACGCAGCAGUGGGGAAUAUUGGACAAUGGGGGAAACCCUGAUCCAGCAAUGCCGCGUGUGUGAAGAAGGCCUGCGGGUUGUAAAGCACUUUCGGUUGGGAGGACUGCUUCUAGCACUAAUAUUGUUGGAAGUUGACGUUACCUUCAGAAGAAGCACCGGCUAACUCCGUGCCAGCAGCCGCGGUAAUACGGAUGGUGCAAGCGUUAAUCGGAAUUACUGGGCGUAAAGCGCACGUAGGCGGCUAGAUCAGUAGGGUGUGAAAGCCCCGGGCUUAACCUGGGAACUGCAUCCGAUACUGUCUAGCUUGAGUACAGGAGAGGAGAGUGGAAUUCCACAUGUAGCGGUGAAAUGCGUAGAUAUGUGGAGGAACACCAAUGGCGAAGGCAGCUCUCUGGCCUGAUACUGACGCUGAGGUGCGAAAGCGUGGGGAGCAAACAGGAUUAGAUACCCGUGUAGUC
rnacentral:rRNA from 1 species